rnacentral:rRNA from 1 species
GGCGGCGUGCCUAAUACAUGCAAGUCGAACGGUCUUUUCUAUGGAAGCUUGCUUCCAUAGAAAAGAUAGUGGCGGACGGGUGAGUAACACGUGGGUAACCUGCCCAUAAGAGGGGGAUAACAUCCGGAAACGGGUGCUAAUACCGCAUAGUUUUCUUGAUCGCAUGAUUGAGAAAGGAAAGACGGCCUUUGUGCUGUCGCUUAUGGAUGGACCCGCGGCGUAUUAGUUAGUUGGUGAGGUAAUGGCUCACCAAGACGAUGAUACGUAGCCGACCUGAGAGGGUGAUCGGCCACAUUGGGACUGAGACACGGCCCAAACUCCUACGGGAGGCAGCAGUAGGGAAUCUUCCGCAAUGGACGAAAGUCUGACGGAGCAACGCCGCGUGAGUGAAGAAGGUUUUCGGAUCGUAAAACUCUGUUGUCAGAGAAGAACAAGUUGGAGAGUAACUGCUCCAGCCUUGACGGUAUCUGACCAGAAAGCCACGGCUAACUACGUGCCAGCAGCCGCGGUAAUACGUAGGUGGCAAGCGUUGUCCGGAUUUAUUGGGCGUAAAGCGAGCGCAGGCGGUUCCUUAAGUCUGAUGUGAAAGCCCACGGCUCAACUGUGGAAGGUCAUUGGAAACUGGGGAACUUGAGUGCAGAAGAGGAGAGUGGAAUUCCAUGUGUAGCGGUGAAAUGCGUAGAUAUAUGGAGGAACACCAGUGGCGAAGGCGACUCUCUGGUCUGUAACUGACGCUGAGGCUCGAAAGCGUGGGGAGCAAACAGGAUUAGAUACCCUGGUAGUCCACGCCGUAAACGAUGAGUGCUAAGUGUUGGAGGGUUUCCACCCUUCAGUGCUGCAGC